rnacentral:tRNA from 1 species
UCCUUGGUGGCUCAGAUGGUAAAGAAUCUGCCUGCAAAGCAGGAGAUCUGGGUUCAAUCCCUGGCUCAGGAA